rnacentral:rRNA from 2 species
UCCAGAGAUGGAUUUGUGCCUUCGGGAACUGUGAGACAGGUGCUGCAUGGCUGUCGUCAGCUCGUGUUGUGAAAUGUUGGGUUAAGUCCCGCAACGAGCGCAACCCUUAUCCUUUGUUGCCAGCGGUUAGGCCGGGAACUCAAAGGAGACUGCCAGUGAUAAACUGGAGGAAGGUGGGGAUGACGUCAAGUCAUCAUGGCCCUUACGACCAGGGCUACACACGUGCUACAAUGGCGCAUACAAAGAGAAGCGACCUCGCGAGAGCAAGCGGACCUCAUAAAGUGCGUCGUAGUCCGGAUUGGAGUCUGCAACUCGACUCCAUGAAGUCGGAAUCGCUAGUAAUCGUGGAUCAGAAUGCCACGGUGAAUACGUUCCCGGGCCUUGUACACACCGCCCGUCACACCAUGGGAGUGGGUUGCAAAAGAAGUAGGUAGCUUAACCUUCGGGAGGGCGCUUACCACUUUGUGAUUCAUGACUGGGGUGAAGUCGUAACAAGGUAACCGUAGGGGAACCUGCGGUUGGA